CCUUGCUUCUUAUUCAGUUCGUCGACGCUGCUUCAGUUAUCCUGAACCUAUUGCGAGUCCACGACGAACAAGCAAGGAUCGCGGUUCUCACAAAUUAAGCCAACCCAUCAGUCGAGAUCACGAACAAAACCGCAGAGAUCGAGCUAGGAAAUAUCAAAACGAAACUCGACGGAGACGGAGACGGAGACGGCAAGGGGAAGAGGGGUCCGGUUUUGGGAGCUGGGCGACCUCCCCCGCCGUGGAGGUGGGCGCGGCUCGGGGCGCCACGCGCGCCUCCGCCGUGUGGGGAGGCUUGCCUCGGCUAAGCGCGUCGCCGUCGCGGGGAGGUAGAUGAGGAAGAGUGGAAACGGGGCUGCCUCGCCGGAUGCCCGCGACCUGUUCGACGGAAUGCGGCCGCGCGGCGACGUAAGGAAAGAGUCGAAAGCCGGGAUGAAGGAACUCGCGACUACCUACAGUUAGAAAUCAAAAGCGCAGGCAAACAUAUGGCGCAUUUCAUGGCUGCUUUAGUGGCGCCACAUCAUAAGAGGUUUUGGAAUGCGUGUGUUUUGCCAUCCUCGUUGAACGGCAGUAUAGCAGGGAAAGUUUUGACCAGGAUGUGUGAAACAAGUAAUGAAGUCCAGGCGGUAUGCCUUUGGCGUGAUGAAGGAGGCAGGGACGAACCUUGGAGAUUGCUGUCGAGCCAUUUGGACUGCCUGGUGCGGAUGUGGCUCGCCCACCACCACGAGUAGGCGUUGCUCGCCGCGCGCUGCAGCAUCCUCCGCGGCGCUUGUUCAGCUGCCGGCAGGACAAGAUCAAAGUGCAGGACUCAAUUGAAAGGCCAACAAUGUGCACACAUUGGCUACAUUUGCUGUGGGCUGUAUGCCAUUUUCGGAAGAAGGCGGCGUGGCGCGGCAAUGGCGGAGAGGGGGAAGAAGAACAGAGACGGAGAGCAGGAAUGCGAUGCUAGCAAUCUUCCUGCAGAGAUGCCAUUGUGCUUGAUUGGAAUUUGAGCGGAAGCGAGCAGUAGGUGGUAGUGGAAGAGAAGUGGUGGUGAUGGCAUGGUGCAGGGCUCGGGGAGGUCUAGUCUCUGAGAUGUGGGCCCCGGCCUCCCGGGAGUGUGUGCUGUCCUGGGUCGCGGCCUGUGCUGCUGCUCGUGCUCGGCACGUCGGCGGGCAUGUGCACGACGUUGGGCCAGAAGUAGCUCUGAGAUGGGCCGUGGGCUCAACCUGUGCCUUUGCCUUUUUUUUGUGUGUGCAUGUCUUUUCCUUUUUCCUUUUCUUUUGCAGAAUUGGUGUCAGUAGCAAGUUAAAGCUGAUGGAAACAGAUAAGGUGUUGUUUUAUUCUUAUAAGAAAUUUCUUAUA